rnacentral:rRNA from 1 species
CUAAGGCUCCAGAGGAAGCCACGGCUAACUCUGUGCCAGCAGCCGCGGUAAUACAGAGGCGGCAAGCGUUGUUCGGAAUUAUUGGGCGUAAAGAGCACGUAGGCGGCCUUGCAAGUCAGUUGUGAAAGCCUUCCGCUUAACGGAAGAAUGCCAGCUGAUACUACAGGGCUUGAGUACGGGAGGGGAGAGUGGAACUUCUGGUGGAGCGGUGAGAUGCGUAGAUAUCAGAAGGAACGCCGGCGGCGAAAGCGACUCUCUGGCCCGAAACUGACGCUGAGUGUGCGAAAGCUAGGGGAGCAAGCGGGAUUAGAUACCCCGGUAGUCCUAGCCGUAAA